UACGUAGGGUGCAAGCGUUAUCCGGAAUUAUUGGGCGUAAAGGGCUCGUAGGCGGUUCGUCGCGUCCGGUGUGAAAGCCCAUCGCUUAACGGUGGGUCUGCGCCGGGUACGGGCGGGCUGGAGUGCGGUAGGGGAGACUGGAAUUCCCGGUGUAACGGUGGAAUGUGUAGAUAUCGGGAAGAACACCAAUGGCGAAGGCAGGUCUCUGGGCCGUCACUGACGCUGAGGAGCGAAAGCGUGGGGAGCGAACAGG
rnacentral:rRNA from 1 species